rnacentral:tRNA from 1 species
AUAAAGUUAGUAUAAUUUAUUAUAAUACUUUUCCAAAGUGUAGAUCUAAUUAAUAUUUAGACUUUAUA